AGUACUUACUACUGGGACUCUGACUGACAAGGCAAUUUAGGCCUAACUAAUUUUUGACAAGAUGGUAAAUGUCACUUAUUAACUUUUGUUGAAAACUGAAGGAUGAAUUUGUUAUUAAGUUCUUUUAUGAAGAUGGACUAAAAAGUAAAACCCAGAGAUUCAGUAAGAUUGGUCAACAAUUACAGGGGAACUUCAUCUAGAAAGUCGGGGAGAAUAAGACAGUCGUUCGGAACAAGAAAACCUGAAUUUCCCCAGCGUAGAAAGUGACCUCUAGGUCUUUGACUACCUGAAUGAGGACACUGGAAGCUGUACGCAGGCCAAAUGGAGGAACCAUAAACUGGCAUGCAGGAACAGCUGGCAGAGUGGCAGUAACUUGCAGCUUGCCAGAUGGAUGCGACAUAAAAACAGGCGUCUUUUAGACACAGCCCAGUCUCCAGAUUGGAUGGCCCGGAACACUAGAGACAGAGUGCCCUUGUGGAACGUCUGAUGCUUGAUCACCCGGUCAAGGCUGCAGAAGUUCGGAAUGGAACACCAUCCCCUGAUUUCCCAGUGAGAAACAAGGCAGGUGUAAAGCCGUUCCCGGCAGGAAGAGGUGUCUGACACCACUGCACCCCUGGCAAGCAAAUUCCCCCACCCCAUUUAACAUAGCUUUCCCUUUCCCAGUUGUGCUGGCAUUCGAGGGAACACUUAUCAGCGACGGCGAUAUGUUUUCAAUUCGGUAUCCAUAUGCAAUGUUUGGAUGGCCCAGUUAUCCAGCGACAAUGCAAUCAGUGCAUGGGUGAAUAAGUAACAGCCCCAACAAUUUCCCACUUAGGAAGAAGAUUAGACAGAAACCGUUGUUUGUAAAAAACUCCCUUAUAGGUGUCUAAAUAAACCACCUCAUCGAAUAAGGUGUUAAGGCUGCCCCCUCCCCCUGCAACAAUGACACAAAGGUCAUGUCAUGAUUAUCUAAGCAAUUAAUUGACAAGAAAAAUGCUUUCCUCAGUGAUUUAACAAAAUGAGCAAUUGUAAUAGGAGUUUGAUGUAAAAUGUACAAUGUUACUGUUAAAGACAGGUUCAACAGAGAUAUAAAAGCGUAUAGAGAAAAUAAAGUAGAUGAAAGGUGAUUGUAACGAUGCAUUGAAAAGGGAAUCAAAGAAAGCCAAUAGUAAAUUGAUAAAAUUAGAGGUAGAAAAAUGAUAGAAGACAAUGUAAGCUGAGGCAGCAUACAAGAAUUAGAAAAAAGGUUAAGAAUUGACUGGAAUUAUACCUCUCUGUAUGUUAUUAAGUAACACCAUUUUCCAAUUUCCUAUAAUAGUAGUAGUAAUAAUAUUGUUGAUUAAACAGUAAUAUUGGUUGGUUAGAUGAAAAGGUAAUUAAAACAAUUAUGAUAAAGAUGGAAAUACUUAAAAAUAUUACACCUGUCUAGAAGUAGGAAAAAUAAUUAAGAUAAAGAUACUUAGAAACUGAUUUAGGUUUGAAAAUUUUAAAACUGGUUAAAUAUUGCACAAAAUGUUUGUUAUUUAUAGAUAUUGCAUAGUAAAAAUUGCACUUUAAAUAUGGAUAUAGAUACUGAUAAAAUUAAGUUUUAAAAGUGCAGCUAGAAUUGUAAAAUUAUUAAUUUAAAGUUUAUUUGAAAUGUCCAAGAAAUAGGAGUGUGGAAACUAGAAUGUACUUACCAUUAAUUAAAAGAACCUGCAAAGAAAAUAUAUUUCAAACAAUUUUGAUGUUAAAAUUCACCUUAGAAAAAUGCUGAGAAAAAUUACUAACAAAUUAUUCAAAAUUUCACUCUAAUAUUCCCAACUACCUGUAAAAAUUCAUAAUCCCUUUAAAAUCAUUUUUAAAUUUUCUUUUUCUAUCAAAAAUUCCUUCCUUUAAAAAUAUUAAUUUCCUUUAAUUUAUAAUUUAUAUUUAAUGUUAAUUUCUUUAAAUUUAAAACUGAUGAUUCUUCUUUUUGAAUUGAUAAACUUCCUGAUUAUUGAGAGGAUUAUUAUUGAAAGAAAACAAGUAUAUUAGUCUGGAAGUAGGCACAGAGUGACAGUGGGAAUUGUGCAAAACAAAGAUGGUGUAUCUGUGUGUGUAUGUGCAAUUAGGAGCCUAAUACAAUUUGUACAUCCUCCGACGGAAAUUGCCCGACUUCGGUGAGUCUUUUGAUGGGGCAGUUGGUGGUUUUGGUUUUGGUGGAGCUGGUUUGUGGUUGCUCUCAAUUGGUUGUUUAGAUGGUUUGAACUUUCUUCGAAAGCUUGGUUGUUGGUUUGUUGUGACCGGAGGCUUUGGUUCACAGACCUAAUUGCAAUAAUAAUAACUUUAUAUAACAAUGGACAUACACUGAAUCAGUUGUAUAGACAGGCAAAAAAAAAAACAAAAAACAAAAACAGAAGCCAUUGUUUGGACCACAAUUAGAAGGCAAGCCUUGUCUCAUAGCGACCAUUGAUGAUGAUAAUGAUAAUAAUAAUAAUAAUAAUAAUAAUAGUAGUAGUAGUAGUAGUAGUAGUAGUAGUAGUAGUAAUAGUAGUAGUAGUAAUAGUAGUAGUGUAAUAAAAUAUAAUA
rnacentral:misc_RNA from 1 species